GACAACAGCAGACUGGCGUGGUGCGAUGGCAGAAGCUGACACUGAGGGAGCUAGCUGCUGGGACGCCAGCGAACAAUUUAUGCCAAAUCACCAUGCCAGAAUAAAAUGACGUAACUGUGGCAUAACUAUCUUUAGAAGUAUUCUUUGACAUGAUGGUGAACACUUGGUGAGCUGAGAGGAACCUUUUCCCAGCAGCAACAUUAGAAGCUGAA